AGAAUCAACGCUGGCGGCGUGCCUAACACAUGCAAGUCGCACGAGAAAGGGGCUUCGGCUCUGAGUAAAGUGGCGCACGGGUGAGUAACACGUGAAUAGUCUACCUCCGAGUGGGGAAUAACUGAGAGAAAUCUUAGCUAAUACCGCAUAACACUUACGAGUCAAAGCAGCAAUGCGCUUGGAGAGGAGUUCGCGGCCGAUUAGUUAGUUGGCGGGUAAUGGCCCACCAAGACGAUGAUCGGUA
rnacentral:rRNA from 1 species